CUCCAGACUCCUACGGGAGGCAGCAGUGGGGAAUAUUGCACAAUGGGGGAAACCCUGAUGCAGCGACGCCGCGUGGGUGAAGAAGUAUCUCGGUACGUAAAGCUCUCUCAGCAGGGAAGAAAAUGACGGUACCUGACUAAGAAGCCCCGGCUAACUACGUGCCAGCAGCCGCGGUAAUACGUAGGGGGCAAGCGUUAUCCGGAUUUACUGGGUGUAAAGGGAGCGUAGACGGUUACGCAAGUCUGGAGUGAAAGGCGGGGGCCCAACCCCCGGACUGCUUUGGAAACUGUAUAGCUGGAGUGCAGGAGAGGUAAGUGGAAUUCCUAGUGUAGCGGUGAAAUGCGUAGAUAUUAGGAGGAACACCAGUGGCGAAGGCGGCUUACUGGACUGUAACUGACGUUGAGGCUCGAAAGCGUGGGGAGCAAACAGGAUUAGAUACCCCAGUAA
rnacentral:rRNA from 1 species